rnacentral:rRNA from 1 species
GACGAACGCUGGCGGCGUGCUUAACACAUGCAAGUCGAACGGAAAGGCCCUGCUUUUGUGGGGUGCUCGAGUGGCGAACGGGUGAGUAACACGUGAGUAACCUGCCCUUGACUUUGGGAUAACUUCAGGAAACUGGGGCUAAUACCGGAUAGGAGCUCCUGCUGCAUGGUGGGGGUUGGAAAGUUUCGGCGGUUGGGGAUGGACUCGCGGCUUAUCAGCUUGUUGGUGGGGUAGUGGCUUACCAAGGCUUUGACGGGUAGCCGGCCUGAGAGGGUGACCGGCCACAUUGGGACUGAGAUACGGCCCAGACUCCUACGGGAGGCAGCAGUGGGGAAUAUUGCACAAUGGGCGGAAGCCUGAUGCAGCAACGCCGCGUGCGGGAUGACGGCCUUCGGGUUGUAAACCGCCUUCGCCUGUGACGAAGCGUGAGUGACGGCAAUGGGUAAAGAAGCACCGGCUAACUACGUG